rnacentral:rRNA from 1 species
CCUGUGGAAACGCAGGGGGAAGUCUCGGAUCAUUGACAACUAAAUAGGAGCAGCAACGUCCAAUUAAAGGGCCCUGAUCACGAAACACAGUAACAAAAUGAAUCUGGAGAGUUUGAUCCUGGCUCAGAACGAACGCUGGCGGCGUGCCUAACACAUGCAAGUCCAACGUGAAAGGGGAGCAAUCCCCCGGUAGGGUGGCAAACGGGUGAGUAAUACAUGGGUGAUCUACCUUAGGGAUGGGGAUAUCCUUCCGAAAGGAGGGGCAAUACCGAAUAUUGUCCGGAGCCGUGAAGGGUUCCGGGGAAAGGGAGGCCUCUGAUACAAGCUUUCGCCUUAAGAUGAGCCCAUGGCCCAUCAGCUAGUUGGUAGGGUAAA